UCCCUGGUAGUCCAGUGGUUAGGACUUGGUAUUUCCUUUUCCAGGGACCCAGGUUUGAUCCCUGGUCAGGGAA